GGCAGAGGGGGUGAAGGAGGCUCCCUGCUGAGCAGUGAGCUCAACACAGGGCUUGAUCCCAGGACUCCAGGAUCAUGACUUGAGCUGAAGGCAGACGUUUAACCAACUGAGCCACCCAGACUCCAGGCCUGGCAUGGAGCCCAACUCAUGACCCUGAGAUCAAGAACUGAGCUGAGAUCAAGAGUUGGACGCUUAGCCAACUGAGCCACGUAGGCACCCCUAUCCACUCUUUUCUCAAGUCUGAUUUGGUGGCAGCAAAAGGAUCCAAAGGGAACUUCCGGCAGCAUCUGGGGCGAUGAGAACAUAGGCGUGGUCCCUGUGAACCUUCUGAGCUCACUGUCUUUCUCACCAUCUCGAGGGCCGUGGAUGGGUCGAGAUUUCCCCUGCUGUAAGACUGAUGCCUUCACAGGAAAAACCAACCAAAACAAACCAACUUAAAAAUGUGUUCCCCACUUGGGGUAUACUUUCCACUCUCUCCAGUGAUCAAGGCAUCCAUUUCACUGGACAAAUCACAUGUGCCUUGACGAAAACCUUACGAACUUCUUGGAAUUCUAUCAGGACACAACCUUCUGGUCCCUUGUUGUCUCCCGCUCGUAUGACCAGCUACUGUAAGUCUCCACUGUCUUAUGCUCAAGCCUGUCACCCAUCGAUUCACGAAGCUUUCCUGGAUCCCAAUUCAAAGAAACCUGUUCAUCACAGCCUAGAGUUUGGUGACUAUAUGAGCGUUGCCAGAGGAAAACCACUCUCCAGCCGCACUGGAAAAGGACCUUCCCAGGCGCUCCUGACCACGGACACUGCUGCAGAACUAUGAAGUAUUAAGCCUUGGGUACACAUCACAGAGAUAAGGCUCCACCCACCACCCGGUCCUGUACAGAUGCUGGAGACCUCCACAUCAAAGUGAUGAGGAAGACGAGUAGCAGACAUCGAGGUAGUCUGCUUCCACCCCAGAUGACGGAUGGAGACUCCAUACACUAAACCCACUCAUCACCAAGCAAAUGAUCUAAGACUGGAACAUGAACCUGAAGCUGUGACCUACCAAUAUCACAGAUGAAGGAAAAGCAUCGUGACCUAUGGGUACCACACAAAGGAUCAACAUAAGCUGUGAGAACUACAAAAGGGUAAUUGAGAGUUGGUGCUCAUGCCUUAAAUUUUGAUCACAUCUCUCAGUUAAGCUGACAAUCUGAUCAAAAGGGGGAACUGUUAAAAAGAAAACCACAGGCCCCAAAAUGGCAUCACUCAGGAUGGGUUCCCAAAGCGGGGCUUAAUAUAUAAUUUAAUUGCAGUUUCAGCCUCCCCCAGAAAUGCAGUCUAAACUGGUCAGUCAGGGGCGCCUGGGUGGCUCAGUUGGUUAAGCGGCUGCCUUCAGCUCAGGUCAUGAUCCCAGGAUCCUGGGAUCGAGUCCCGCAUCGGACUCCCUGCUCAGUGGAGAGCCUGCCUCUCUGCCUACUUGUGCUCUCUGUCAAAUAAAUAAACUGCUCAGAAAUUUAUUGAUGGGAGCCCAUGAGUCUGCCACAUGGACCCUCUCCAUUCCCCAAAGGAAAAUGAGGAGUUUGCAUAAGACCCUCUGCUUUUCCCUUUAAGAGAAAAUGUCCUUGCCUGAAGCAAUCUUUUUCUUUUGCUAAUAACCUUCCUGCCCUGCUCUCCUUCUAUAAAAACCUUCCAUUUUAUACAACUCCUCAAGGCUCCCCAUUCACAAAUCAUUUAAUAGAGCCAAUUAGAUCUUUAAAAAUUUCCUUGGUAAAAUUUUUAUCUAACAGGCAUAUUGUAAAAAAUUUGAAAAACUGAGAAAAGUACAAAGAAAAAAAUCACUCAUCAUUCCAUCAUCUAAUAUAACAAUAUGAGGUACAGUUGACCCUUGAACAACAUAGGGGUUGGGGUGUCAAAAAUCCACAUAUAACUUUUGAGUCCCCAGAAACAUAACUACUACUAACCUGUUGACCGGAAGUCUUACCAAUUACAAAACCAAUUAACACAUAUUUUGUAUGUUACAUGUAUGUUGUACUGUAUUCUUACAGUAAAGUAAGCUAGAGGAGAAACAAAGUUAUUAAGAAAAGUACAAGAAAAAUACAUUUACAGUACUGUAUUUAUAAAAAAAAAUCCACAUUAUAAGUGGAUGCAUGCAGCUCAAACCUGUGCUGUUCAAGGGUCAACUACACCUUCUUCCAAGCACCUCAACCUGUCUAUCGAGCUUUUCUAUUGAGAUUAUAAUACUAUCAGUAAUCCUGCUUUUCAUUUAGCAUUCUGACAUAUGCAUUUCCUCACAUUAUUAAAUACUCUUCAGAAGCCAUUACAUAUUUCACUGUCUGCCUGUACCACAAUUUCCUUAAUAAUCUCCCCCUUUUUUAAAGAUUUUAUUUAUUUGAGAGAGAGAGAGAGCACAAGUGGGAGGAGGGGCAGAGGGAGAGAGAGAAGCAGACUCCCCACUGAACGAGGAGCCUGAUGCGGGGCUCAAUCCAGGACACUGGGAUCAUGACCUGAGCUAAAGGCAGAUACUUAACCGACUGAGCCACCCAGGUGCCCCAAUAAUUCCCUUUCUGUUGGAGAUUUACGUUGUUUUCUUUGUUUGGUAAUUAAAAAUGUGAUAAGCUGCUCAGAGAGGAUUCUGCUUGUCCCUCUCCCUCUGCCCACCUCUUGCUCUCUCUCUCCCUGUCUCUCUCAAAUAUAUAAAAUCUUUAAAAAAAAAAAAGUGGUAUUUUUGAUUAUGUCCUUUGAACAGAUUCCUUAGAAAUUCUAAGUAAAAGGCUACAGAUUUUUUUU